rnacentral:rRNA from 1 species
AAUAUUGGACAAUGGGCGCAAGCCUGAUCCAGCAAUGCCGCGUGUGUGAAGAAGGCCUGAGGGUUGUAAAGCACUUUCAAUAGAGACGAAAAGCCUGGACUUAAUACGUCUGGGUCUUGACUUAACCUAUAGAAGAAGCACCGGCUAACUCCGUGCCAGCAGCCGCGGUAAUACGGAGGGUGCAAGCGUUAAUCGGAAUUACUGGGCGUAAAGCGCACGUAGGCGGUUUGUUAAGUCGGAUGUGAAAGCCCCGGGCUCAACCUGGGAAUUGCAUUCGAUACUGGCAAACUAGAGUAUAGAAGAGGCAAGUGGAAUUCCGGGUGUAGCGGUGAAAUGCGUAGAUAUCCGGAGGAGCAUCAGUGGCGAAGGCGACUUGCUGGUCUAAUACUGACGCUGAGGUGCGAAAGCGUGGGGAGCAAACGGGAUUAGAUACCCCGGUAGUCCACGCCGUA